UGCCAGCCGCCGCGGUAAUACGGAGGGGGCUAGCGUUACUCGGAAUUACUGGGCGUAAAGCGAGCGUAGGCGGUUAAUCAAGUUGGGGGUGAAAGCCCGGGGCUCAACCCCGGAAAUGCCCUCAAAACUAGUUAACUAGAGGACGGGAGAGGGGAGUGGAACUCCCAGUGUAGAGGUGAAAUUCGUAGAUAUUGGGAAGAACACCAGUGGCGAAGGCGACUCUCUGGACCGUUUCUGGCGCUGAGGUGCGAAAGUGUGGGGAGCAAACAGGAUUAGAUA
rnacentral:rRNA from 1 species